UCGGUUAGAAACAACUCCAGAACUCCAGCCGAUGGUUUUCGCUUCUGCAAUAUUCGGAGAAUGAUCUGGAGACCCUGCGUGCAAAUGUUUCAAAAGCCUUCACGUACAAACGUCAUAGGUCACUGAUCAAAUGUCGUUUGUCGCUGACACUGCUAUUACGUUGCUGUUGGAAAGAUGGGGUGAAGUGUGUGUGUGAUUAUCGUAAAGCCUCGAGGGCUAUCUGCCUAAGGGAAGGGAUGCCUUCGUGGAGGACUUUCUAAGGGAAACUGGCUCGUAUACACGUUACACAUGGGGAAAACCCCGAAAACGCCCAUGCAGCCAGCCCGUUCACGGGAUUCGAACCUCGGACCGAACUACCAGUGUUCAGCGACUCGGCUCACCAGCGCCAGGCCGCUGGUGAGCCGAAAGAUGGGGGUGAAGCUCUGCUCCUAGUAUAAUGGUGUGACAUAUUUGAAUCAAUCCUUUGCACCAGCGUUUUUUUUUUUUUUUUUUUUUUUUUUUUUUUUGUGUGUGUGUGUGUGUGUGUGUGUCUAUUUCAGUUUUAAAAUAUGUUAUAAUUCAUCUUACAGCAGAAAUACAAAUUCUAGAAUUGCUUCCCUGUACCCAGAACAUUUUAUCUUUUAGGUGAAUGAGAUAUUUAUUGGCUUUUGUUAUACCGUUCACGUUCUUCAGAAAUCAGAAAAAUCUUCCUUUCGGCUUACUUAAUGAAGUGGGAUGCCUUAAUGUAGAUCCAUAAAGUGCCCGUUCGUUGUUUGCCUGUUGCAAAGUUGAGUGACAAAUGCAGCGCAAGAUAUGGAAUUUUGAAGAAAUUAAGGAGGAUGCUAAGACUAUUUCCAUAGCUUAUUAUGAUGUAGCAAAGAGGAAAUUCAGCAAAAGAUGUUAGAUGUGAAAAUGCUAUGGUUCACUAUACUACAGAUUCUAUCUAGAGAUUGUUUUCUCAUGUAUGUAAUGUACGUUCAGAAUGUAAAUUGCCUCAAACGCUUAGAGCACUAGUCCUUAGACAUGAAAA